CAGGUUUUUUUGGGGUAUUUAUGUAUAUAUAGUUGUUGUCUGGAUACUCGCUGGAGCGAGUGGUGUAGUAGACAUUUUGUAUGUACUGGAACCGCUCGAGGUUUUUCUAUAUAUGUUUUUUAGUUUAGCAGCUCUUUACCUUAUGGUUGUAGCUUCGUUUUGUUUAUAGGUACAGCUAUCGCUUCGUAUACAGGAAAAUUUCUAUGAAUACGGCGGGUCUGUUGGCGUGUCUGGGGAAACGUGUAAUCCGGGG
rnacentral:lncRNA from 1 species